rnacentral:rRNA from 1 species
UACAGAGGGUGCGAGCGUUAAUCGGAAUUACUGGGCGUAAAGCGUGCGUAGACGGCUAUCUAAGUCGGGUGUGAAAGCCCCGGGCUCAACCUGGGAAUUGCAUUCGAGACUGAAUAGCUAGGGUACGGUAGAGGGAAGUGGAAUUUCCGGUGUAGCGGUGAAAUGCGUAGAUAUCGGAAGGAACAUCAGUGGCGAAAGCGACUUCCUGGACCAGUACCGACGUUCGAGGCACGAAAGCGUGGGGAGCAAACAGGAAUUAGAAACCCGUAGGUAGU